rnacentral:rRNA from 1 species
GAUGAACGCUGGCGGCGUGCCUAAUACAUGCAAGUCGAGCGAACGGACGAGAAGCUUGCUUUUCUGAUGUUAGCGGCGGACGGGUGAGUAACACGUGGAUAACCUACCUAUAAGACUGGGAUAACUUCGGGAAACCGGAGCUAAUACCGGAUAAUAUUUUGAACCGCAUGGUUCAAAAGUGAAAGACGGUCUUGCUGUCACUUAUAGAUGGAUCCGCGCUGCAUUAGCUAGUUGGUAAGGUAAUGGCUUACCAAGGCAACGAUGCAUAGCCGACCUGAGAGGGGGAUCGGCCACACUGGAACGGAGACACGGUCCAGACUCCUACGGGAGGCAGCAGUAGGGAAUCUUCCGCAAUGGGCGAAAGCCUGACGGAGCAACGCCGCGUGAGUGAUGAAGGUCUUCGGAUCGUAAAACUCUGUUAUUAGGGAAGAACAUAUGUGUAAGUAACUGUGCACAUCUUGACGGUACCUAAUCAGAAAGCCACGGCUAACUACGUG